GGUUUCUUGGAAGGUCUGGUCUGCCCGGCAAUCUUUUCUCUUCCUGAACUCUCCUUGUGCUCAGAAUGGCUCCCCGACCACUUACAAAGUGGGUCCUGUGCGAACCAUUUUAUGUUCAUUGUCCUUUCUAGGGACUUGGCUCCAUGGAGUUCUUCAAAAGAGGAAUUAAAGACUCAGGGACCGUGCCAUUCGCUGUGCUUCUCAAAUCAUCAUCAGCUGCUUUUGAGGAUGAACAACAGAGCCCCAGGAGCUGCUCCCAUAAAUGACUUCCAAUACAUUGCGGAGAGAGACUAUUAUUCAGAUGCCUGCUAUUACACGGCCUGCACUCGGCCGUUCCACACCGCGCCUCUCCUGACUCGCUUUCAGAGAUCCACUGUCGUCAGCAAAGGGAGAGUGGGCCUGGAGCUUCCGGGAAAGUGCUCUGAGUUGGUGAAAGCUCCCGGAAUGGCAGGCAUUCACAGUUGCAAGUUGCCACCUGGAACCAAUCCACUGAAAGAACCUACAGAAUGGGAGGCACCUGACUCGCUCCCUGGGUCAAUUCCAGGCAGUUUUGCUUCAAGAUUGGAUUUGAUCUUGCAACUCGGCCACAGGAUAAAGUGA
rnacentral:lncRNA from 1 species